UGACAGCCAUAUCACGUUGAAACACCAGUUUCCUGUACAAUCACCUAAGUUAAGCAAUGUCAAGCUUAGUCACUACCUAGAUGGGUGACUGCUUGGGAAUACCAAGUGCUGUAAG